AACGAACGCUGGCGGCAGGCCUAACACAUGCAAGUCGAACGCCCUAGCAAUAGGGAGUGGCAGACGGGUGAGUAACACGUGGGAACCUUCCCUAUAGUACGGAAUAGCCCAGGGAAGCUUGGAGUAAUGCCGUAUACGCCCGAAAGGGGAAAGAUUUAUCGCUAUAGGAUGGGCCCGCGUCGGAUUAGCUAGUUGGUGAGGUAAUGGCUCACCAAGGCAACGAUCCGUAGCUGGUUUGAGAGAAUGACCAGCCACACUGGGACUGAGACACGGCCCAGACUCCUACGGGAGGCAGCAGUGGGGAAUCUUGGACAAUGGGCGCAAGCCUGAUCCAGCCAUGCCGCGUGAGUGAUGAAGGCCCUAGGGUUGUAAAGCUCUUUUGUCGGGGACGAUAAUGACGGUACCCGAAGAAUAAGCUCCGGCUAACUUCGUGCCAGCAGCCGCGGUAA
rnacentral:rRNA from 1 species